UACGUAGGGGGCGAGCGUUGUCCGGAUUUAUUGGGCGUAAAGAGCGUGUAGGCGGCCAGGUAGGUCUGCUGUGAAAACUCGAGGCUCAACCUCGAGACGUCGGCGGAAACCAUCUGGCUAGAGUCCGGAAGAGGAGAGUGGAAUUCCUGGUGUAGCGGUGAAAUGCGCAGAUAUCAGGAAAAACACCCGUGGCGAAGGCGGCUCUCUGGGACGGUACUGACGCUGAGACGCGAAAGCGUGGGGAGCGAACAGG
rnacentral:rRNA from 1 species